rnacentral:rRNA from 1 species
AACUACGUGCCAGCAGCCGCGGUGACACGUAGGCUCCAAGCGUUGUCCGGAUUUAUUGGGCGUAAAGAGCUCGUAGGCGGUUGAGUAAGUCGGGUGUGAAAACUCUGGGCUUAACCCGGAGACGCCAUCCGAUACUGCUCUGACUAGAGUUCAUGAGGGGAGUGGGGAAUUCCUAGUGUAGCGGUGAAAUGCGCUUAUAUUAGGAGGAACACCGUGUGGCGAAGGCGCCACUCUGGACUGAAACUGACGCUGACGACCGAAACUAUGGGUAGCA